CUUUCCUGCCACUGCUCCCACCGCCCUCUGCCUACACGGGAGGGGAACGGGAAGGGGAAGGAAGGCAAGGAUAGGCACAGGUGCAGCCGGCACUUACCUGCUCCCCCUCUCCCUCGGCUGCCCAGCGUGAAUAAAGGGUGGAGAGAGCGGAGUGUGCGCGCCGGCAGCAGGAGAAGGCUCGGUGUCACGCUGGGGCUGGAGCCCGGCAGCAGAGCCCCGCAACCCCGGAGCUGCUCGGGGCAGCCGCUCUGGGAGAUGAGUACCUGCUUUGUUCGGACGUGGUCCGGCUGGGAAAGCGGCAGCACGAACUUUGUGCCUCCCUCCAGCACUGCUGAAGCCGUUUGGGUCUGCAGCACGAAACAGAUCCACAACUGAAACGUGAUCAGCCCGGAGUCAGCACGCCUCCUGAAGAAAAAAAAAAAAAAAAAAAAAAAAAAAAAAAAAGAA